rnacentral:rRNA from 1 species
AAUGAAAGCUAGCGGUAUGCCUAAUACAUGCAAGUCGUACGGAAAUUUAGCCUUCGGGCGAAGAUUUUAGUGGCGAACGGGUGCGUAACACGUGAGAAUCUGCCUUUAGGAAGAGGAUAACUACUAGAAGUAGUAGCUAAUACUUUAUAUGCCUAACGGUGAAAGAAGCAAUUCGCCUAAAGAGGAGCUCGCGUCUGAUUAGCUAGUUGGUAGGGUAAGAGCCUACCAAGGCGACGAUCAGUAGCUGGUUUGAGAGGAUGAUCAGCCACAUUGGAACUGAGACACGGUCCAGACUCCUACGGGAGGCAGCAGUAAGGAAUAUUCUACAAUGGGCGAAAGCCUGAUAGAGCAAUACCGCGUGAGGGAUGACUGCCUACGGGUUGUAAACCUCUUUUCUCAAGGAGGAAGAACUGACGUUACUUGAGGAAUAAGCAUCGGCUAACCCUG